GUCUGUGUGUAGAUCUAAUUGUUAGUGUGUCUGUGUGUACAUCUAAAUGUUAUUGUGUCUUUGUGUACAUCUACAUAUUAGUGUGUGUCUUUGUUUAGAACCAAAUGAUAGUGUGUCUGUGUGUACAUGUAAUUGUUAGUGUGUCUGUGUGUAGAUCUAAUUGUUAGUGUGUCUGUGUGUACAUCUGUGUGUGUGUGUGUGUGUGUGUGUGUGUGUGUGUGUGGGUGUGGGUGUGUGUCAUGAGUAGAUCUGGAUUUGCUCCUGAGGGGUUGACGUGGCGUCCUGAUGGCAUCCUGAUGGCGUCCCGAUGACGUGGCGUCCUGAUGGCGUCCUGAUGGCGUCCCGUUGGUCUGCAGACAAGGAGAAGAGACGUGAGGAGGAUCAUCAGGAUGUGUCUAUCUGGAUUUGCUCCUGAGGGGUUGACGUGACGUCCUGAUGGCGUCCCGUUGACGUGGCGUCCUGAUGGCGUGGCGUCCUGAUGGCGUCCCGUUGGUCUGCAGACAAGGAGAAGAGACGUGAGGAAGAUCAUCAGGAUGUGAUACAAGAUUCAUGUGUACAUCUACAUGACAACAGCAGGAAUCAGAUGUUUAUCUCAAGGUAUUAGCUCUAAAUCACAGCCUUCUCCACCCGAUAGACCAAUACAUCAUUCACAGCAGUAAGGCUGCAGUCUGUCUGGAUUCCUCACUUACCUUGAGCUCUGUUGAGUGCAGCAGAACGCGUCUUCGUCCCCUCUACAGACUCCUGAGGCAUUACAUGGUUGCUUUCUGCAAGUGUAGGUCCGGAAAACAGUGUGUAGAUGCGAGGUUUGAAACUGACUGACUGGAUGUGCAACAGACUGUGUUUCUUAUGCUGUGGUGAACGGAGCAUAGAACAUGGAACAUGGAACAUGGAGAAAUGUUCCAUCAUGAUGUAACGUCUCUAUGGUUACAGUGAAGGUAUCCACAUUAUGCAAAUGAGCCAUUAGAGAAAAUGUGUGUGUGUGGACGGUGUAUUUGUAUUGAUGAAGCUCAUCCAC
ensembl:lncRNA